CGAUUAGUCUUUCGCCCCAUGCGCAGAUUUGACGAUCGAUUUGCACGUCAGAACCGCUGCGAGCCUCCACCAGAGUUUCCUCUGGCUUCACCCUAUCCACGCAUAGUUCACCAUCUUUCGGGUCCGAACAGUUAUGCUCUUACUCAAAUCCAUCCGAAGACAUCAGGAUCGGUCGAUGAUGCACCCGUAAGGGCUCUCACCUCCGUUCACUUUCAUUACGCGUGAGGGUUUAACACCCAAACACUCGCAUAAAUGUUCGACUCCUUGGUCCGUGUUUCAAGACGGGUGGCUGAUGACCAUUAUGCCAGCAUCCUAGCCGAAGCGCGGUCCUCAGUCCCGGUCAGGGUAUUACACAAAAGGCUAUAACAUUCCCGGAGGAAUCACAUUCCUAAUGUCUUUAUCCCCCAACUAGAACUGAUGCUGGCCUCAACGAAGGGAAGUGCACCGGUGAGAACACCGGAUGAUUCCCAACGCAAAGGUCUGGUCAUAAACCCUUCCCUUUCAACAAUUUCACGUACUAUUUAACCCUCUUUUCAAAGUGCUUUUCAUCUUUCGAUCACUCUACUUGUGCGCUAUCGGUCUCUGGCCGGUAUUUAGCUUUAGAAGAAAUUUACCUCCCAUUUAGAGCAGCAUUCCCAAACUACUCGACUCGUCGAAGGAGACUUACAAAGGAUCGGCAUCCAACCGUACGGGGCUCUCACCCUCUAAGGCGUCCUGUUCCAAGGAACUCGGAAGGUACCUAACCAAAGUCAUCCUCUACAAAUUACAAUUCGGACCAGAAGGCCAGAUUUCAAAUUUGAGCUGUUGCCGCUUCACUCGCCGUUACUAGGGCAAUCCCUGUUGGUUUCUUUUU
rnacentral:rRNA from 1 species